AACGAACGCUGGCGGCAUGCCCAACACAUGCAAGUCGAACGAGACCUUCGGGUCUAGUGGCGCACGGGUGCGUAACGCGUGGGAACUUGCCCUUAGGUUCGGAAUAACUCCCCGAAAGGGGUGCUAAUACCGGAUAAUGUCUUCGGACCAAAGAUUUAUCGCCUUUGGAUGGGCCCGCGUUGGAUUAGCCAGUUGGUAGGGUAAAAGCCUACCAAGGCGACGAUCCAUAGCUGGUCUGAGAGGAUGAUCAGCCACACUGGGACUGAGACACGGCCCAGACUCCUACGGGAGGCAGCAGUGGGGAAUAUUGGACGAUGGGCGAAAGCCUGAUCCAGCAAUGCCGCGUGAGUGAUGAAGGCCUUAGGGUUGUAAAGCUCUUUUACCCGGGAUGAUAAUGACAGUACCGGGAGAAUAAGCGCCGGCUAACUCCGUG
rnacentral:rRNA from 1 species